UGGGGAAUUUUGGACAAUGGGCGAAAGCCUGAUCCAGCAAUGCCGCGUGUGUGAAGAAGGCCUUCGGGUUGUAAAGCACUUUUGUCCGGAAAGAAAUCCUUGGCUCUAAUACAGUCGGGGGAUGACGGUACCGGAAGAACAAGCACCGGCUAACUACGUGCCAGCAGCCGCGGUAAUACGUAGGGUGCAAGCGUUAAUCGGAAUUACUGGGCGUAAAGCGUGCGCAGGCGGUUUGCUAAGACCGAUGUGAAAUCCCCGGGCUCAACCUGGGAACUGCAUUGGUGACUGGCAGGCUAGAGUAUGGCAGAGGGGGGUAGAAUUCCACGUGUAGCAGUGAAAUGCGUAGAGAUGUGGAGGAAUACCGAUGGCGAAGGCAGCCCCCUGGGCCAAUACUGACGCUCAUGCACGAAAGCGUGGGGAGCAAACAGGAUUAGAUACCCUGGUAGUCCACGCCCUAAACGAUGUCAACUAGUUGUGGGGAUUCAUUUCCUAGUAACGUAGCUAACGCGUGAAGUUGACCGCCUGGGGAGUACGGUCGCAAGAUUAAAACUCAAAGGAAUUGACGGGGUCAUAGCUGUUUCCU
rnacentral:rRNA from 1 species